GACGAACGCUGGCGGCGUGCCUAAUACAUGCAAGUAGAACGCUGAAGAGAGGAGCUUGCUCUUCUUGGAUGAGCUGCGAACGGGUGAGUAACGCGUAGGUAACCUGCCUGGUAGCGGGGGAUAACUAUUGGAAACGAUAGCUAAUACCGCAUAAAAUUGAUUAUUGCAUGAUAAUUAAUUGAAAGAUGCAAUUGCAUCACUACCAGAUGGACCUGCGUUGUAUUAGCUAGUUGGUGAGGUAACGGCUCACCAAGGCGACGAUACAUAGCCGACCUGAGAGGGUGAUCGGCCACACUGGGACUGAGACACGGCCCAGACUCCUACGGGAGGCAGCAGUAGGGAAUCUUCGGCAAUGGGGGGAACCCUGACCGAGCAACGCCGCGUGAGUGAAGAAGGUUUUCGGAUCGUAAAGCUCUGUUGUAAGAGAAGAACGGGUGUGAGAGUGGAAAGUUCACACUGUGACGGUGUCUUACCAGAAAGGGACGGCUAACUACGUGCCAGCAGCCGCGGUAAUACGUAGGUCCCGAGCGUUGUCCGGAUUUAUUGGGCGUAAAGCGAGCGCAGGCGGUUAGAUAAGUCUGAAGUUAAAGGCUGUGGCUUAACCAUAGUAUGCUUUGGAAACUGUUUAACUUUGAGUGCAGAUGGGGAUAGUGGAAUUCCCAUGUGUGCGGUGAAAUGCGUAUAUAUAUGGAAGGAACACCGGUGGCGAAAGCGUCUCUCUGGUCUGUACUGAGGCUGAGCUCGAGAGCGUGGGGAGCCUACAUG
rnacentral:rRNA from 1 species